rnacentral:rRNA from 1 species
CUCUUCUUGUGAAUUUUUUGAAGUAUAGUCUGCCCACUGAUUAUAUUGAAGGGCCGCGGUAUUUUGACCGUGCAAAGGUAGCAUAAUCAUUAGUUUUUUAAUUGUAAACUGGUAUGAAUGGCUUGACGAGGCAUUAUCUGUCUUUAUAGGAUUUUGUUAUUGAAUUUGGUUUUUGGGUAAAAAUACCUAGAUUCUGUUAUGGGACGAGAAGACCCUAUAGAGUUUUAUGUAACUUUCUUUUCUUUAGUUUGUCUUGAUUUUUUAGUUUAUGUUACAUUUUGUUGGGGUGAUGGGAGAGUAAAUUAAACUUCUCCUUAUUUGUAAUUCACUUAUUUGUGUCUUCUUGAUCCUUUAUUAUUGAUUAUAAGAUUAAAUUACC